AUUUCAGUUUGUGUAGUUCACCUUUCGUUCUGUUUUGUCUCAUUCUUCUUUACGGCUGCUUCAGUUUUUCUGACCAGAUGGUUUAACAGAAUAUGUGAUGUAUUCUAAUCCUGCACACACACACCUUGCUCGGACGCCAUUACGCCCCCCCCUCCCCCCCCUCCCUCUCAUCGGGUCCCUGGAAACAAGAUCUGUAGAGCCGGAGGCUUUAGUGUCUCUGCACAAGUGCACGUUUUGUUACCGAGGCGACAAGAGCCGCCUUGUUAAUUCUUUCCUCUGUGACGGGGGCUGAUUACUAAUACAUGCAGCCGGUCACUGCAGGUCGCUGGAGAUGAUGAACGUCUUGGAGGGGCCGUGUGUGUGUGUGUGUGUGUGUGUGUGUGUGUGUGUGUGUGUGUGUGUGUGUGUGUGUGUGUGUCUGUGUGUCUGUGUGUGCGUGUGUCUGUGUGUGUCUGUGUGUGUGUGUGUGUGUGUGUGUGUGUUGAGGGACUCAUGCUUGGCUGUUUUUAUAGCAGGUAAUUCAAAAUUGUCUCUCACUCAAAGAACAUUAGUGCACAUUCUCCCAUUGACGUCAACUCAAGUACUACCGUGCAGUAGUACUACAGUGUCCAAGUACUACUACAGCGUACAAGUACUACAAUGUAGUACUACUGCAGUGUACAAGUACCACAGCAUAGUAGUACUACAGUGUACAAGUACUACACUGUAGUACUACUGCAGUGUACAAGUACCAAAGCAUAGUACAGUACAGUGUACAAGUACUACUACAGUGUACAAGUACUACAAUGUACAUGUACUACAAUGUAGUACAACAGCAGUGCACAAGUACCACAGCGGAGUAGUACUACAGUGUACAAGUACUACAAUGUAGUACUACUGCAGUGUACAAGUACCAAAGCAUAGUACAGUACAGUGUACAAGUACUACUACAGUGUACAAGUACUACAAUGUACAAGUACUAAAAUGUAGUACUACUACAAUGUAGUACUACUGCAGUGUACAAGUACCACAGUGUACAAGUAAUACAGUGUACAAGUACUACAAUGUACAAGUCCUACAAUGUAGUACAGUGCACAAGUACGACAGCGGAGUAGUACUACAGUGUCGCAGCAUCCUGAGGUGAAGAAACAGAUCCACAUUUGUACAGAAUGCUGUUACUUUUACUGCUUGGUUUUCCUUUUUUACAGCUUUAACGUUAAUACCUUAUUCAUUAUUUAUAUUUCAUUUUUAACAUUUAUGUUUUGGUUUGUGUAGUUUUUUAAUUUGAUGCUUUAAUUUUUUUCUAUUUCCAGAAAACCAAUAAAUAGGCCAAUAAAGCCACGUGGAACUGAUGUAUUAACAAUGGUGUCCUAUUGAUCACUGACUGAUUAACUGUUUAAGAGGACCUCCCCCCCGGUGGUCGUCUCCUCACAUGUAACCGUGAAUUAUUAAUUGUUAUUAUGGUUGGUUGGGACACACGUGUGAUGCCAGUGAACGCGUGGCGGACCUCUGCUCGCUAUCGAUCUGAUCCAGAUCUCUGAGGGCCUCCGAAGGGCCUCUGAAAGCCUCUAGAAGGGCCUCCGAAAGCUUCCGAAAGCCUCUAGAAGGGCCUCUAAAGGGCCUCUGAAAGCCUCUAGAAGGGCCUCCGAAGGCCUCUGAAAGCCUCUAGUAGGGCCUCCGAAGGGCUUCUGAAAGCCUCUAGAAGGGCCUCCGAAGGCCUCUGAAAGCCUCUAGAAGGGCCUCUGAAAGCCUCCGAAGGGCCUCUAAAAGCCCUCAAAGGGGCUCUGAAUGGCCCUUCCCAACAAUUGCCGGGUCCCAAAAGGGAUUUCUUUUCGGGUUCCCUUAAUCUACCACUCUUCUUUAUUCUCACGUUAACAAGAAGAACAACGAGUUCUAGAUGUUGUGACUUCAGAAGGGAGAUGUGAAGAGAAGGAUGAUGGAGAGAGAGAAGAGCAGAUGGCUGGAAAUAAAACCUGCUAAAUUAUUCAUCCAGACGGGUCGAAGACGGAUCGUAGACGGACGCUUUGACAUAGAUGCCUCAUCAAAGCGUCUGCCCCCCUGGGGGGCAGCUAUUUGCUGGUGGAUUCAGGGGGGGGGGGGUUUGAUGUCGAUGUAUGCAGGUAUUCAAGGAGCAAAGUUUCCCACCAUCACCUCCACAAAGAGACUCCUCUACUCGUUACCAGGGCUUCUACAUUAAACACUC
ensembl:lncRNA